rnacentral:rRNA from 1 species
CCCAAGUAGCACGGGGCCCGAGAAAUCCCGUGUGAAUCUGGCGGGACCACCCGCUAAGCCUAAAUAUUCCCUGGUGACCGAUAGCGGAUAGUACCGUGAGGGAAUGGUGAAAAGUACCCCGGGAGGGGAGUGAAAUAGUACCUGAAACCGUGUGCCUACAAGCCGUGGGAGCGUCGGAUGGAAGCUUGCUUUCAUCUCGUGACUGCGUGCCUUUUGAAGAAUGAGCCUGCGAGUUUGCGGUGUGUUGCGAGGUUAACCCGUGUGGGGAAGCCGUAGCGAAAGCGAGUCCGAAUAGGGCGGUUUAGUAGCGCGCUCAAGACCCGAAGCGGAGUGAUCUAGCCAUGGGCAGGUUGAAGCGGAGGUAAGACUUCGUGGAGGACCGAACCCACCAGGGUUGAAAACCUGGGGGAUGACCUGUGGUUAGGGGUGAAAGGCCAAUCAAACUCCGUGAUAGCUGGUUCUCCCCGAAAUGCAUUUAGGUGCAGCGUCGUGUGUUUCUUGCCGGAGGUAGAGCACUGGAUAGGCGAUGGGCCCUACCGGGUUACUGACCUUAGCCAAACUCCGAAUGCCGGUAAGUGAGAGCGCGGCAGUGAGACUGUGGGGGAUAAGCUCCAUGGUCGAGAGGGAAACAGCCCAGAGCAUCGACUAAGGCCCCUAAGCGUACGCUAAGUGGGAAAGGAUGUGGAGUCGCAGAGACAACCAGGAGGUUGGCUUAGAAGCAGCCACCCUUGAAAGAGUGCGUAAUAGCUCACUGGUCUAGUGAUUCCGCGCCGACAAUGUAGCGGGGCUCAAGCGUACCGCCGAAGUCGUGUCAUUGCAGCAUAAGGGCCAACGCCUGCUGUGAUGGGUAGGGGAGCGUCGUGUGCCGGGUGAAGCCGCGCCGGAAGGCAGUGGUGGACGGUUCACGAGUGAGAAUGCAGGCAUGAGUAGCGAUUCACACGUGAGAAACGUGUGCGCCGAUUGACUAAGGGUUCCUGGGUCAAGCUGAUCUGCCCAGGGUAAGUCGGGACCUAAGGCGAGGCCGACAGGCGUAGUCGAUGGAUAACCGGUUGAUAUUCCGGUACCCGCUGUGAAGCGUCAAACAUCGAACCAGGCGAUGCUAAGGCCGUGAAGCCGCCCCGGAGCCUUCGGGCAAAGGGGAGUGGUGGAGCCGCUGAACCAGACUUGCAGUAGGUGAGUGAUGGGGUGACGCAGGAAGGUAGUCCAUCCCGGGCGGUGGUUGUCCCGGGGUAAGGGUGUAGG